GACGAACGCUGGCGGCGUGCUUAACACAUGCAAGUCGAACGGAAAGGCCCUGCUUUUGUGGGGUGCUCGAGUGGCGAACGGGUGAGUAACACGUGAGUAACCUGCCCUUGACUUUGGUAUAACUUCAGGAAACUGGGGCUAAUACCGGAUAGGAGCUCCUGCUGCAUGGUGGGGGUUGGAAAGUUUCGGCGGUUGGGGAUGGACUCGCGGCUUAUCAGCUUGUUGGUGGGGUAGUGGCUUACCAAGGCUUUGACGGGUAGCCGGCCUGAGAGGGUGACCGGCCACAUUGGGACUGAGAUACGGCCCAGACUCCUACGGGAGGCAGCAGUGGGGAAUAUUGCAAAAUGGGCGGAAGCCUGAUGCAGCAACGCCGCGUGCGGGAUGACGGCCUUCGGGUUGUAAACCGCUUUCGCCUGUGACGAAGCGUGAGUGACGGUAAUGGGUAAAGAAGCACCGGCUAACUACGUG
rnacentral:rRNA from 1 species